rnacentral:rRNA from 1 species
UAGUCCAUGCCGUAAACGAUGAUUACUCGAUGUUGGUUCGCCAGUGUCUAAGCGAAAGUUAUAAGUAAUCCACCUGGGGAGUACGAUCGCAAGAUUGAAACUCAAAGGAAUUGACGGGGGCCCGCACAAGCGGUGGAGCAUGUGGUUUAAUUCGAUGAUACGCGAGGAACCUUACCUAGGCUUAAAUGUUAUAUGACAGCUUGUGAAAGCAAGUUUCCCUUGUGGCAUAUAAUAAGGUGCUGCAUGGUUGUCGUCAGCUCGUGCUGUGAGGUGUCGGGUUAAGUCCCGCAACGAACGCAACCCCUAUUAACUGUUGCCAGCAUUUCGGAUGGGGACUCAGUUAAGACUGCCUACGCAAGUAGAGAGGAAGGAGGGGACGACGUCAGGUCAUCAUGGCCCUUACGCCUAGGGCGACACACGUGCUACAAUGGUAGAUACAGAGUGUAGCGAGCUAGCAAUAGUAAGCCAAUCACAAAAAGUCUAUCACAGUUCGGAUU